AUGGCGCCGUCGCACAGGAACGGAGGAGACCGGCUGAGCGCUCUCCCGGACAAGGCGCUAGAGCGCGUCCUCUCCCACCUAAUGUCCGACGAGGCCGUGCGCACCAGCGGGCUCUCCCGGCGAUGGCACCACGUCUACGAGGGCGUCCCCGUCGUCCACCUCGUCGACACCAAGUCAGGCGAACGGCACGGCCGCAGCGGCGGCCUCAAGGUCUGCUUCGACCACCAGGUGACGAGCACGAUCGUGGGCAAGGCCGCGGAGACGCCGAUCCGCACCUUCCGCGUCACCGUGCUCCACCCCCCGUACGACCUGCUCGACCAGUGGAUCGCCACCGCCGUGAAAUCCGGCGUUGAGGACCUCGACGUCAAGCUCAGGUACUGGGACGACGCCAUGAACACGCUCUGCCCCUUCCUCCGUUGCCCGUACAGCGGUGAUAAGCACUCGGCGGACUUCGACAAACACAACAGGGGCAGGUUCACCAGGACGCACCCCCACAUCUUCGGCUGCCCCACGCUCCGGCGGCUGCGGCUGGCCAACUGGACGCUCGAUCUGCCCGGAAGCGUGGACAUGGCGUUGCUGGACACGCUCUGCCUCGCGAGGAUCAUGGACCCCUACGGGGAGCUGCAGCAGCUGAUCUCCGCCUGCCCCCUCAUCACCAAACUGACGCUGGAGGAGUGCCCGACCAUCAAGGAGAUAGCGGUGACGCCUGCCCGCCUGCGGAGCUUCACCAUGAUCUGCUGCCACAACGCCACCAGCGUCGAUCUUCGCACCACCUGCGUGCAGUCGCUGCACUACAAAGGAGGCCUCCCUGCUCGUGAUGCACCGUUCAUCACGGUCGCGGAUUACGAAGGAAUCAUGGCGGUGAAGGUUGAAAUCUGCGGAAAACUCAACGGGACUGAUCGAGACGACGUUGCUCCGGUCACAAGGCUCAUCGGCCAGUGCACCAAGCUGGAGUAUCUUCACCUUUCCUUGCGCCCAUCGAUGGCAUACAACAGCAGCCUGUUCGCCAGUGUCAUACGCGGCCUGCAUAGCCUCACGCACCUGAGCCUCCAGGGCUGCUUGCCCACCGAAGACGCCGUCCGGUCGGUCUCUGCUUUGCUUGUCGACGCCAAGAACCUGAAAGUACUGUCGCUGUUUCCUCUGGGUCCAGAGCCUCCAAAGAACAAGAGAAUGCGUAUGUACAGGGACCAAGACGACGACAAAUCGGAUUCAGAUAGUGAGCCAGAAGAGGGUCCGGCCGUCAGCGAUGGCGUCCAGUACCGAAUGCCCAAGACUCUGUGGAAAACGCACGUCAGGUGCUUGGCUUACAAGGUGAGAAGAAUCAACAUUGGAAACUUCCAAGGGCGGCCUCUCGAGAAGAUGCUUGCAAGGUUUCUGCUCUCCAGGGCUGCAGCUUUGGAGGAAUUCUCUGUUACCUUAGCACCUGAAGUUCAUCCACAGAAGGAUGAGAUUACGAAGGAGUUAAUAUCCUGGCGACAAAAUCGC
rnacentral:rRNA from 1 species